UACGAAGGGUGCAAGCGUUACUCGGAAUUACUGGGCGUAAAGGGUGCGUAGGUGGUCGUUUUAAGUCUGUUGUGAAAUCCCCGGGCUCAACCUGGGAAUGGCAAUGGAUACUGGCAAGCUAGAGUGUGAUAGAGGAUGGUGGAAUUCCCGGUGUAGCGGUGAAAUGCGUAGAGAUCGGGAGGAACAUCAGUGGCGAAGGCGGCCAUCUGGAUCAACACUGACGCUGAGGCACGAAAGCGUGGGGAGCAAACAGG
rnacentral:rRNA from 1 species